rnacentral:misc_RNA from 1 species
AAUUUCUCAAAGUUCUUGUUUAUUUUCUAAACAUAGGACAUUUGGACUUGGGAGUUUGCCGGAUUCUUUAUUGAAAUCGGCUCUUCUAAAAUGUAUUAGCAAGGACUUUUCUAAAACCUUGGUGUGAUAAUUAUCUACGCCAUAAUGGUUUCAGAAUAUAUAGUCUAGCCCUCUAAUCGUCACUUUAGUGACAAUUAAAUGACA